rnacentral:lncRNA from 1 species
UUUUUUCUUUUUUUUUUUUUUUAGCCUAUGGAGGUUCCCAGUCUAGGGGUCUAACUGGAGCUGUGGCUGCCGGCCUACACCACAGCCAUAGCAAUGCGGGAUCGGAACCAUGUCUGUGAUCUACACCACACCUCACGGCAACACCAGAUCCGUAACCCACUGAAGAAGGCCAGGGAUCAAACCCGCGUCCUCAUGGAUACUCGUCAGGUUCAUUAACCACUGAGCCACGAUGGGAACUCCUAUCCUUUGUUUUCUUUCACGUGCUCUUUGCCUGACACACACUCAGGCCUACCCUCUCCCACAUUCAUCCCUGGCACCCACACAUUCACACUCAAGACACACACACACACACACACACACACACACACACCCCUUCACAUUCAGAUACUCACACAUAUUGCCCUUUGUCAGGUUUUGUGCUGUGGUCUGUCUAAAGACAACCAGGGCAGACAGGAGGGUGGGAGGUUGGAGAUAAAAGAGAAAGCAAAGGGGGAGUUCCCGUCAUGGCUCAGUGGUUAACGAAUCCGACUAGGAACCAUGAGGGUGCAGGUUCAAUCCCUGGCCUCGCUCAGUGGGUUAAGGAUCCGGCAUUGCCGCAACCUGUGGUGUAGGUUGCAGAUGUGGCUCAGAUCUGGCGUUGCUGUGGCUGUGGUGUAGCCCGGAGGCUACAGCUCCAAUUGGACCGCCAGCCUGGGAACCUCCAUAUGCCGCCGCGGGUUCGGCCCUAAAAAGACAAAAAGACAAAAAAGAGAGAGAGAAAAGCAAAGGGGGCCAUGCUACUUGGAGAUGGUUCUGCAGCCCAGCUCCCCACUCCCUGCCUCGACAGCAAGACACUCAAGUGUUGUGGUUUCGAGAUGAACUAUGACAUGGACAAGGCCCAGAAAAAGUGCUUGUCACAUUAGCUAGCUGGUUGCUCUUUUUCUUUAAAUGAGAAAAACCACAAAACACAAUAACAAAAACAUGUAUAUGAACCAUGGAAACAACUUUAUUACAUAGAACCAUUUUCAUAAUUUUUGUUACAGUGGGACUUUACCUUAUGCAGUUGAGAAAUAAAUGGGAAUGAAAAGUUCCACCACAUAAGCAUAUGGUUAUUAGGCUCUUCAAGAAUGGUAUACAUAGUUCCCGUCGUGGCGCAGUGGUUAACGAAGCCGACUAGGAACCAUGAGGUUGCGGGUUCGGUCCCUGGCCUUGCUCAGUGGGUUAAGGGUCCGGCGUUGCCCUGAGCUGUGGUGAGGGUCGAAGACGCGGCUUGGAUCCCGUGUUGCUGUGGCUCUGGCGCUCCUAUUUGACCCCUAGCCUGGGAACUUCCAUAUGCCACGGGAGCGGCCCCAGAAAAGGCAAAAGACAAAACAAAACCAAAAAAAACUAAUACUAUCCAUACUCUCAACUUCCCUGAAAAUUGCAGAUGAACUCUGGGGCCUUCCAGAGUUGGGAUCCACAGCCUCUUUCUUUCCACACAGGCAGGUGCUUUACCCGCCUGUGAACACAAAACGCCCCAGGGGCACAGCUCUAAAGAGAAAGUGUCCAGGUGCCGCCUUCAGCAUUAAGAUGUGCACAUACCACGUGGACGCGCCUCGCACAGCCUCCUCUCCCCAGCCUCGAAACCCAGACGAUGUGAUACCAUGAGAGCUCUCUGGCUACAUCCCUUCUGUCAUGCCAAACGCUACCCACUCCACCCUCAGCUCCAAUGUGUGUAUCUUAUCUGAUGGGCAUGAGUUGCAAGACGGUCCCCAAACCGGGGGCUGGGCAUCAGGUUCUCAGCCAGCUUGCAGGUGUGGGGCAGGGAGCACACACGUUAUCAGCCGAGGUUUGCUGCAAGCCGUGUAGGCCAUCAAACACUCGCAGGGCCCAGAAAACUCUUAAAGGGCAGUUAGUGUGGCAGAUGGGGGAGACAAGACGGGAGGAGGGAAGAGGAACCACCUGCCUUUCCUCGCAAUCACAUUCUUACUCUGCUCAAAGUUACCCCCAGCCGGGUAGGUUGCUAAAACCGUUUUGGCUAAGCCAAAGGCCCGCAGUUGGCAGCUUGAAGGGCAGGGGAGCCCAGGCUCCAUGGACGACAAUGUAGGGCUUGGAGAAUUGACAGUGUCNNNNNNNNNNNNNNNNNNNNNNNNNNNNNNNNNNNNGGGAAAGGAGAAAGGGUGGUGCCUGGCUUCCUGCCUGAUCACACACCUCUGAAGCCACCCUCGGGCCAACAGACCAUUCUGCUCCCCAGCCCCAAAAACGUCGCUACUUCAGAUUUUGGUUUCCUGCUUUCCUUUCUAGCACAACUGGGAAUCUGGUGCAAAUCCACCUGGAGCCAAAAGGACAUCCCGUGUUCAUCUCGGGCUCCUUGGCCUCUCACCCAUAUCCCCGUCUAAGCCUAAAGCCAGGUCUUCCGGCUCUUUUACAAAAUCACAACAAAAUCCUCGACACUGGCUGUUUCCAUGGAUCAACCUGGUAACUACCCGCCCAGGCUCACCCUCUGGCUUUAAGUGUGUGGGGAAGAGAACCUACAGGCCUAGCAGACAGCCAUGGAAAUGCCACGUCUUUGCCACCCGCUGGGCUUUGAGCCCAAUGACCAGGAUGAAUGGGAGCCCAGUGAUUUGAAGAGAGGGAACACUCACACUUCGGGAGGGGUGGGGGGUAGGGGUGCCUUGUAAGUAGCUAAUGAAAGGUGUUAUAAAGGGGGCACAGUGUGUGCGGACCAGGAGUGGGAAAAGCCAUGUGCAGUGCGCCUGGGGAAGUGUGGCUCACUCUCCCCACCCCUGCUGCCUUUCCAGCAACUCCAUCCAACAAGUAUUUAUUGAGCACGACACUCCCCAUCUGCCCCGGCCCUCCCUCUGCAAAAACACUCAAAUCUGUUCAAGCUGCAGGGUGAGUUCCACUGCACUUGAACUGGAAACAUGAGGUGCCUACCUUUUAAAAAGGCAGGCACACAAUUUCCAGCAUGGGGCAGAAGGGGCUAAAGAGAUUUGAGAAAGUUAAGGGACACAGCUGACCAAACAAGGACACACCACGGCCACUUUCAACAGGGACGGGAGAGGAGACAGAAAAAAUUUCAUUUAACCUUAGGGAAAAUACACUGGCUAAUUUAUUAAAAAAAAAAAAAAAAAAAAA